ACCUAGGUGGCUCAGUCGGUUGGGCGUCUGACUUUGGCUCAGGUCAUGAUCUCGCGGUCCGUGGGUUCGAGCCCCGCAUCAGGCU
rnacentral:tRNA from 1 species